CAGUAGCCGCGGGAAUACGAAGGGUGCAAGCGUUAAUCGGAAUUACUGGGCGUAAAGCGCGCGUAGGUGGUUUGGUAAGAUGGAUGUGAAAUCCCCGGGCUCAACCUGGGAACUGCAUCCAUAACUGCCUGACUAGAGUACGGUAGAGGGUGGUGGAAUUUCCUGUGUAGCGGUGAAAUGCGUAGAUAUAGGAAGGAACACCAGUGGCGAAGGCGACCACCUGGACUGAUACUGACACUGAGGUGCGAAAGCGUGGGGAGCAAACAGGAUUAGAUACCCCUGUAGUCCCUGUCUCUUAUAC
rnacentral:rRNA from 1 species